AUUGAACGCUGGCGGCGGGCCUAAUACAUGCAAGUCGAGCGAGCGGCGGAUGGGUGAGUCAUGCCUGGGAAUUGCCAAGUCGAGGGGGAUAACAGUUGGCAACGACUGCUAAUACCGCAUACGUCUGGAAUGCUCAGGUGGGAUUAGCUAGUUGGUGGGGUAAUGGCUCACCAAGGCGACGAUCCAUAGCUGGUCUGAGCGGAUGAUCAGCCACACUGGAACUGAGAAACGGUCAAAACUCCUACGGGAGGCAGCAGGGGGGAAGAUGGCACAAUGGGGGAAACCCUGAUGCAGCCACGCCGCGUGUGUGAAGAAGGCCUUCGGGUCGUAAAGCACUGUCAGCGAGGAGGCGGUACUCUCAGAAGAAGCACCGGCUAACUCCGUGCCAGCAGCCGCGGUAAUUC
rnacentral:rRNA from 1 species